UUCAUGGACGCCCAGCAGCACUUCCUUCACCUCUACCCUGGAGGGGAGCCCCGGAGAAGAUGCAGCUCUGCUCCCAACAUCCCAGGGACUUGCAGUUGUCCCUUAAACACCCUCCUUCCCAGAAUCCUUCCCCCACCCUGCACAGGUAACAGAGAAAAAAUGCAGCCAUGAUCACCCCAGGCCUUCAUCUCUGUCACAUUGGGCCAACAGUCCUGGACCUAGACCCAAAGCGCCUAUCGACCUUCGUCUCUCCAGCACAAGAAAAUUCCGUGGCCUACACACAACCCCAAACUCUGUCGCCAGGCUUUGCCUAGCCCCACAUAAACUUCACCUUGGGAAUUCUGAAAAGUUUAAAUGGAGCAGAUUUUUCCUCCAAAGGGUCUUUGACAGGAAAAGGCUGCAUGUGAGAACAUUUAGAUUAAACCUGCCAAACUGCAGACAGACGGUCAAGAGGGAUCCAGGCAGGAGCCAAGCCCGCACAGUGCUGCCCAGAGUCCUCCAGACAGACACCUGGAGGGACCUGGAUGACCUGGGAAGAGACACCAGCGCUGGCCUGUCUGCCUGGGGUUCCGCCAGUCAGCCCAGGAGUGACCCUCUCUCAUGGAUGCUGAGCUACAAGAUUCUUCCAGAGGGUUCUCCCCAUACCCACCCCCCGGGGCCCUGGGAUCUAGCCAGAGGGGCUGGUAAGAAGGAGCCAGGCUACAGAUAAAGGAAGUUGCUUUGGGAAGAAGAGCACGAAAGCAAAGUUUGCUGACUGAAGACUUUCACUGCCGCUGACCGGGCCUCCCUGUCAUGAGAAUGAAAAUUAUUUUCUGCUUGUCAAAAAAUAUUUCCAGGGUAGAUCCUGUGUUGUAAGUCAGACAGAUAAGGACAGCAAUUUCGAUUGCCUCCUUCUUGCCUGCGUAGCGGGUGCACAUUUGCAGCCCUGUACAGCUUAGAUGCUAUCUGCAGAGACUGAGCCUUGGGAAGGUUGCCCCCACCCCCACAACAUCUCUCCUCCAGGGAUCCACCCACUUCCUCUUGGGAGCCCAGCCGAGGACAGUGUGGUUUGAAGAACAUCCUAAUCCCAGCCCCAAAGCUCUGAAAGAAAAAAUGACUAAAAACUCUGGAAUGUGGAGCCUGCUGCUUCCUGCGAAGCACUUUGAAUGAAACACGUAACCAACAGCUGCAGUUCAGAGAAUGGAAACUCUGAAGGACGUCAUGGCUCCGGGACCCAAAGAGCGGGGUUGUGAGCAGAUCAAGGUCUUGAUUUCUGCCCAGCCCAGACUCUCUGUGCCCGUCCCUCCUGCUCUUCUUCCAGGAACCAGGCCCAUCCUGCUAAGGAUAUCCUUCUGUUGCUCCCUCAUUUCAAACACGCCACGACCCCCAGCAGCCUUGGGUCUUUGAGUGUGGUGGGUUAGAUCCCACACGCAUUCACCAGUGCCCAGUGCCCAGUGCCCACCGCCCUGCCCCUCUGCCCUCUCAGGAGCAGAGGGUGAACAUGGCGCCCAUGCUGGGACUCAGCCCAGACCAUGCCUGAUGAUGAAAGGCGGCUCAUGCAAGCAGACAGAUAUGGUUACCCAGGCCGGGCACCAGGGCACACACCUGUAAUCCCAACAGUUUAGGGGGCUGAGGCAGGAGGAUCCCAAGUCCAAGUCCAGCCUCAGCAACUUAGUGAGGCUCUAAGCAACUUAGUGAGGUCUUGUCUAAAAAAUAAAAAGAGUUGAGGGUGUGUGUGUC